rnacentral:rRNA from 1 species
CGGGGGGGCAAGCGUUGUUCGGAAUUACUGGGCGUAAAGGGCGCGUAGGCGGUUCGCUAAGUUGGGUGUGAAAACUCUGGGCUUAACCCAGAGCCUGCAUCCAAAACUGGCAGACUAGAGUUUUGGAGGGGGAAGCGGAAUUCCUGGUGUAGCAGUGAAAUGCGUAGAUAUCAGGAGGAACACCGGUGGCGAAGGCGGCUUCCUGGACAAAAACUGACGCUGAGGCGCGAAAGCUAGGGGAGCAAACAGGAUUAGAUACCCUGGUAGUCCUAGCCCUAAACGAUGGAUACUUGCUGUGAGGGGGAUUGAAUCCCUUCGUGGCGAAGCUAACGCAUUAAGUAUCCCGCCUGGGGAGUACGGUCGCAAGGCUG